GACAGAGGAUGCAAGCGUUAUCCGGAAUGAUUGGGCGUAAAGCGUCUGUAGGUGGCUUUUCAAGUCCGCCGUCAAAUCCCAGGGCUCAACCCUGGACAGGCGGUGGAAACUACCAAGCUGGAGUACGGUAGGGGCAGAGGGAAUUUCCGGUGGAGCGGUGAAAUGCAUUGAGAUGCGGAAAGAACACCAACGGCGAAAGGCACUACUGCUGGGCCGACAACUGACACUGAGAGACGAAAGCUAGGGGAGCAAAUGGG
rnacentral:rRNA from 1 species